rnacentral:pre_miRNA from 17 species
AUAAAUGUAAAGAGGAACGUGACCCAAAAGCAACUUAAGCUUUUUAGCUUAAGUUGCUUUUGGGUCGCGUUCCUCUUUACAUUUAUU